CAGUGGGGAAUAUUGGACAAUGGGCGCAAGCCUGAUCCAGCCAUGCCGCGUGGAUGAUGAAGGCCCUAGGGUUGUAAAGUCCUUUUAACGGGGAAGAUAAUGACGGUACCCGUAGAAUAAGCCCCGGCUAACUUCGUGCCAGCAGCCGCGGUAAUACGAAGGGGGCUAGCGUUGCUCGGAAUUACUGGGCGUAAAGCGCACGUAGGCGGAUAGUUAAGUUGGGGGUGAAAUCCUGGAGCUCAACUCCAGAACUGCCUCCAAAACUGGCAAUCUUGAGUUCGGGAGAGGUGAGUGGAACUGCGAGUGUAGAGGUGAAAUUCGUAGAUAUUCGCAAGAACACCAGUGGCGAAGGCGGCUCACUGGCCCGAUACUGACGCUGAGGUGCGAAAGCGUGGGGAGCAAACAGGAUUAGA
rnacentral:rRNA from 1 species